CUAUCUAUCUAUCGCAUGUAUGUAUGGCUAAGAUCAAAGUGUAGUAUCUGUUCUUAUCAGCUUAAUAUCUGAUACGGUCCCUAUUUGGGACCAUCGAUAUUAAACUGAUUUUUAGAACGAGGUGAAGUGUUAGGGGCUUGCUCCGCCUUUGCCACGGGUUGUCCUGGUAUUGCAGUGCUUCCAGGAUUCAGCCCACUCCCA
rnacentral:snRNA from 1 species